AUUGAACGCUGGCGGCAGGCCUAACACAUGCAAGUCGAGCGGAUGAAGGGAGCUUGCUCCUGGAUUCAGCGGCGGACGGGUGAGUAAUGCCUAGGAAUCUGCCUGGUAGUGGGGGAUAACGUCCGGAAACGGGCGCUAAUACCGCAUACGUCCUGAGGGAGAAAGUGGGGGAUCUUCGGACCUCACGCUAUCAGAUGAGCCUAGGUCGGAUUAGCUAGUUGGUGGGGUAAAGGCCUACCAAGGCGACGAUCCGUAACUGGUCUGAGAGGAUGAUCAGUCACCCUGGACAGGAAACCGGUCCCGGCCUCCUAGGGAAGGCAGCGGGGGGAAAUUUAGAAAAAGGGGGGAAAGCCUGAACACGCCUUGCGGGGGGUGAAAAGAAGGUCUUCGGUUUUUAAAACUUUUUGAGUGGGGGAAAAGGACAGUAAUUUAAUACCUUGCUGUUUUGACGUAACAAAUAAAAAAAGCCCCGCCUACUUGGGG
rnacentral:rRNA from 1 species